UACGGGGGGAGCAAGCGUUGUUCGGAUUUACUGGGCGUAAAGAGCUCGUAGGCGGUCUGUCGCGUCGGAUGUGAAAAUCCAGGGCUUAACCCUGGACCUGCAUUCGAUACGGGCAGACUAGAGUUCGGUAGGGGAGACUGGAAUUCCUGGUGUAGCGGUGAAAUGCGCAGAUAUCAGGAGGAACACCGGUGGCGAAGGCGGGUCUCUGGGCCGAUACUGACGCUGAGGAGCGAAAGCGUGGGGAGCGAACAGG
rnacentral:rRNA from 1 species